ACGGGUGAGUAAUACCUAGGAAUCUGCCUGAUAGUGGGGGAUAACGUUCGGAAACGGACGCUAAUACCGCAUACGUCCUACGGGAGAAAGCAGGGGACCUUCGGGCCUUGCGCUAUCAGAUGAGCCUAGGUCGGAUUAGCUAGUUGGUGAGGUAAUGGCUCACCAAGGCUACGAUCCGUAACUGGUCUGAGAGGAUGAUCAGUCACACUGGAACUGAGACACGGUCCAGACUCCUACGGGAGGCAGCAGUGGGGAAUAUUGGACAAUGGGCGAAAGCCUGAUCCAGCCAUGCCGCGUGUGUGAAGAAGGUCUUCGGAUUGUAAAGCACUUUAAGUUGGGAGGAAGGGCAGUAAAUUAAUACUUUGCUGCUUUGACGUUACCGACAGAAUAAGCACCGGCUAACUCUGUGCCAGCAGCCGCGGUAAUACAGAGGGUGCAAGCGUUAAUCGGAAUUACUGGGCGUAAAGCGCGCGUAGGUGGUUUGUUAAGUUGAAUGUGAAAUCCCCGGGCUCAACCUGGGAACUGCAUCCAAAACUGGCAAGCUAGAGUAUGGUAGAGGGUAGUGGAAUUUCCUGUGUAGCGGUGA
rnacentral:rRNA from 1 species